rnacentral:piRNA from 1 species
UGGUUCCAGAUCAGCCAGUUGAGAAG